AAGCAGAGGGGGCUUAGUGGUGGGGUGACUGCGUACCUUUUGUAUAAUGGGUCAGCGACUUAUAUUCUGUAGCAAGGUUAACCGAAUAGGGGAGCCGGAGGGAAACCGAGUCUUAACCGGGCGUUAAGUUGCAGGGUAUAGACCCGAAACCCGGUGAUCUAGCCAUGGGCAGGUUGAAGGUUGGGUAACACUAACUGGAGGACCGAACCGACUAAUGUUGAAAAAUUAGCGGAUGACCUGUGGCUGGGGGUGAAAGGCCAAUCAAACCGGGAGAUAGCUGGUUCUCCCCGAAAGCUAUUUAGGUAGCGCCUCGUGAAUUCAUCUCCGGGGGUAGAGCACUGUUUCGGCUAGGGGGCCAUCCCGGCUUACCAACCCGAUGCAAACUGCGAAUACCGGAGAAUGUUAUCACGGGAGACACACGGCGGGUGCUAACGUCCGUCGUGAAGAGGGAAACAACCCAGACCGCCAGCUAAGGUCCCAAAGUCAUGGUUAAGUGGGAAACGAUGUGGGAAGGCCCAGACAGCCAGGAUGUUGGCUUAGAAGCAGCCAUCAUUUAAAGAAAGCGUAAUAGCUCACUGGUCGAGUCGGCCUGCGCGGAAGAUGUAACGGGGCUAAACCAUG
rnacentral:rRNA from 1 species